rnacentral:rRNA from 1 species
UUCCAGAGAUGGACUGGUGCCUUCGGGAACUGUGAGACAGGUGCUGCAUGGCUGUCGUCAGCUCGUGUUGUGAAAUGUUGGGUUAAGUCCCGCAACGAGCGCAACCCUUAUCCUUUGUUGCCAGCGGUUAGGCCGGGAACUCAAAGGAGACUGCCAGUGAUAAACUGGAGGAAGGUGGGGAUGACGUCAAGUCAUCAUGGCCCUUACGACCAGGGCUACACACGUGCUACAAUGGCGCAUACAAAGAGAAGCGACCUCGCGAGAGCAAGCGGACCUCAUAAAGUGCGUCGUAGUCCGGAUUGGAGUCUGCAACUCGACUCCAUGAAGUCGGAAUCGCUAGUAAUCGUGGAUCAGAAUGCCACGGUGAAUACGUUCCCGGGCCUUGUACACACCGCCCGUCACACCAUGGGAGUGGGUUGCAAAAGAAGUAGGUAGCUUAACCUUCGGGAGGGCGCUUACCACUUUGUGAUUCAUGACUGGGGUGAAGUCGUAACAAGGUAACCGUAGGGGAACCUGCGGUUGGAUCACCUCCUUA